GACGAACGCUGGCGGCGUGCCUAAUACAUGCCAGUUGAGCGAUGAAGAUUGGUGCUUGCACCAAUUUGAAGAGCAGCGAACGGGUGAGUAACGCGUGGGGAAUCUGCCUUUGAGCGGGGGACAACAUUUGGAAACGAAUGCUAAUACCGCAUAAUAACUUUAAACAUAAGUUUUAAGUUUGAAAGAUGCAAUUGCAUCACUCAAAGAUGAUCCCGCGUUGUAUUAGCUAGUUGGUGAGGUAAAGGCUCACCAAGGCGAUGAUACAUAGCCGACCUGAGAGGGUGAUCGGCCACAUUGGGACUGAGACACGGCCCAAACUCCUACGGGAGGCAGCAGUAGGGAAUCUUCGGCAAUGGACGAAAGGCUGACCGAGCAACGCCGCGUGAGUGAAGAAGGUUUUCGGAUCGUAAAACUCUGUUGGUAGAGAAGAACGUUGGUGAGAGUGGAAAGCUCAUCAAGUGACGGUAACUACCCAGAAAGGGACGGCUAACUACGUG
rnacentral:rRNA from 1 species